rnacentral:tRNA from 2 species
UUCUAAUAUGGCAGAUUAGUGCAAUGAAUUUAAACUUCAUACAUAAAGUAAUAACUUUUUUUAGAA